rnacentral:rRNA from 1 species
GACGAACGCUGGCGGCGUGCUUAACACAUGCAAGUCGAACGAAGUGGCGAACGGGUGAGUAACGCGUAAUCAACCUGCCCUUCAGAGGGGGACAACAGUUAGAAAUGACUGCUAAUACUCCAUAGCAUGGGAUGAGACUAUAUCGUAUUAGCUAGUCGGUGGGGUAACGGCCUACCGAGGCGAUGACGCGUAACUGGUCUGAGAGGAUGAUCAGUCACAUUGGAAGUGAGACACGGUUCAAACAUCUACGGCAAGCAGCGGUAGGGAAUAUUGCGCAAGCGGCGAGACUCAGACGCAGCAACGCCUCGUGGAGUAUGAUACUUUUCGGAGCGUAAACUCCUUUUGUUAGGGAAGCGGUACCUAACGAAUAAGCACCGGCUAACUCCGUGCCAGCAGCCGCGGUAAUAC